rnacentral:rRNA from 1 species
GACGAACGCUGGCGGCGUGCUUAACACAUGCAAGUCGAACGGAAAGGCCCUGCUUUUGUGGGGUGCUCGAGUGGCGAACGGGUGAGUAACACGUGAGUAACCUGCCCUUGACUUUGGGAUAACUUCAGGAAACUGGGGCUAAUACCGGAUAGGAGCUCCUGCUGCAGGGUGGGGGUUGGAAAGUUUCGGCGGUUGGGGAUGGACUCGCGGCUUAUCAGCUUGUUGGUGGGGUAGUGGCUUACCAAGGCUUUGACGGGUAGCCGGCCUGAGAGGGUGACCGGCCACAUUGGGACUGAGAUACGGCCCAGACUCCUACGGGAGGCAGCAGUGGGGAAUAUUGCACAAUGGGCGGAAGCCUGAUGCAGCAACGCCGCGUGCGGGGUGACGGCCUUCGGGUUGUAAACCGCUUUCGCCUGUGACGAAGCGUGAGUGACGGUAAUGGGUAAAGAAGCACCGGCUAACUACGUG